CUAGACUUCCAUGGCCAUCGGCCGAUCCAGCCAUGGGGGGCUUCUACCGGUCGACGGACGCCGGCCACCAGGACGCGACCCCGCAGAGGGGAUCAGCAGAUGCAGGCAAGGAGAUGACGCCCGCCUUGUCCCUGCCGCCGCCUUCCUCGCAUCCUCCUCCGCGCGAGGAAAAUCGGUCGCAGCAGCGCCUGUGGUAUGUCUCCUCCGACGUGCACGCCGCCGAUUCAUGAGGUGUCAGUUAUGGAUUUACUGCAGUAGCUUUCUUCAGAUUGGUUUGAGAAUUAUCCAUUUGCUAGCAGGCACCCCACUGAAACUUUGCCCUUUAGUCGACGCUAAUGACGUGUGACUGCGGCUGGUGGGAGGAGAUCGCUGUGGCGCCGCGGGGAUGGCGACGAGAAGGCACCUAGGACGAGCUGGUUGUCACCUGCCCUAGCCACUGCUGCUGACAAUCUAGCUCGAGCUGCUGCUAGCGCCUUUCGGCCACCGGCCACAUCCUCGAGCUGUUGCAUGCCUGCCGAAGAUGUGUGCUUUCGCCGGUGGGAGACAAUGAUAGUGGAGGAGCUUCGCAGCUCAUCAGUGGUCUGCGACCAUGAUUGCACUCUUGCCAUUGCCAACGCCAUGCUGUAAGCACCCUUGCCUCGACCUAGCUGCAGGACGACCAAAGGCUGCUCCUGCUGCUCCCUAUCUUCGUCGAGGUUGUUUUGCCACAGGGAGCAAAAAAUGAUUAUAAGUUGUCAUGAUUUGUGUGAAUAAACAAAGACACCAGGAGGAGAGGCGCAGCUCGAUGGCUAGUGGUGACCACAACUGCUCUCUUGCCAGCGCUGCCGCCACAGCAUGUGUGAUCCUUCUCGGACCUCCCCACUGCCAGGGCCAAGAAGUGAUAGGCGUGCAAGUACUCCCUGCCCUAACCUAGCGGACGACACAAUGUUGUUGCUGCAUCUGAUAAUGAUGAUGCAUGUCACCGUCAAGGUGGUUUUGCCAUUUCUAGUGAGAAAAGGAGAUCAAGGCUGGCCUCCGUGUGCUCCUGCUAGUGCACACAUGUUCGGGUUGCUUCUGUUGUCUUCCCUAUCUGUGUCCCCAAGCUGCUGCUGCGGGUACGGCUUCUCGGCCUCAGAUGCGGCCCUAGAUUCCUCCACUAGUCGUCGCAAGUGUCAUCAUCAGUGGGCUAGCUUCCCGGGUGGACGACGCCUCUUGGUGCACUGAGAUCGGCAUCGACUACAAUCCGUCCUAGAUCUGGAAGGGGCAUCUUCAAGAUCAUGUGCAUCCUGAGCCUUCGUCUUCUGGCUAAGGAGACAAGUCACUAUCUGAUUUGACACCAGAUUCUGUUGUACCCAUUAAACUUCCCCGGAUCCCUAAAUAUGUGAAUUCUUCUCAAGGACCUGUUAGUAAUACAUCAUCAAUAUCGUAGCGUGGUGCGGCGAACUCAGCUGUGAGUGUUCCAUGCUUUUUGAUGCCAAGCUCUUCGAUGGGAUCUCUUAGCUCGGACAAAUUAAGUUUCAACCUAGAUGCUAAUGUUCGACCAGGAAUUCAAGUUGAACCCAAAUGAUAAGGGUUUCACUCCAUUGACUUCUCCUGUAAGGCCACCUCGCCCUCUAGCAGCUGAUGCAACAUACUAUUAUCCUGAUAACAUGCAAACUACUCUUGGACCUUGGCAUGGCCACAUGGGGAUUGAUUAGGUAGCUAAGCCUCACAUCUCAUUGAUGACACGGUGGUUGAAGCAUCUUUGAGCACUCUUAUAUUGUGUUUAAUAAGGUGAACAUACCAUCGCAAGCCUAGGAGAUGCAUGUACUUUGUCGAGACCUUCCCAUGAUCUCAUUACUUCCAUUUCGGUGAACUCUCGAAUAAGGGUAAGAGAAGACGAACAAGGACUACCCCCACAGGUGGUUGGGCAGUGCUGGUCUCCCCGAGCUCCUGCUGGUGGUUGCCUGCCUGGGCUGCUGCUGCCGACUACUUCUGUCUCGCUACCAUGCAAUGAUGGAAAGUUCACUGUGGUGCAACUGCGGCAGAGGUGGUUUCUUCGUCGAGGCCGUGAUUUAGUUGAGUUUGUGGUUCUCCUCUUCUUUAGAGCAAAUGAAUUGAGUGCAAGGCAGCCGACUUUCUUGCUGUUUACAUGGUUGAUGGAAUUGUUGGUAUGCUCUCAAGAUACCCACCCACAUUAGCUAUUGGAAGAUAUGCAGUCCUCUAUGGAAGUCACGGAAGCUGGGACAACUCUAGCUGGUGAAUUGAGCUUGCUUAUGCUACAUCUUAAUUAUUUCCGUGCUUGCAUUAUAUAUCUUGAUCACUUGCAUUAUUUCUGGUUGCAUCACAAAAACUAGGACUGCACUACCUAAACUCUAGCACAACCAUCUUAUGCAUCUUGCUGCUAUUGCAUCAGGUAAAUCACCACUUGCACUAUCUAAAUUCUAGUACUAAAUGGACGCUCACUCUUUUUUCUGUCCAUGUGGAGUUCUGAAUGUUAGGAAGUAUCUGUAUCGAGAUUGACUUCAGUUGUUCAUGUACUUGUACUUCUUAUGAUAGGUAAAUACUCAUGUCGUGUCCAAUUGCUUGGCAGCUGCAUAAAUCUCCCCUUGAUAGCCUCUGUUACCUACUACGGUCUAGUUAUACAUGUUCUCAUGAAAUUUCUGAUGUGAUUCCCAAUGGCUUGGCAGCAACAUUUGCCAUUUUUUUGCCUAUUUUAUUUGUGUAUUGACCCAGUGUGUACAAAAAUAUGCUCAUCCAUGUGACUACUAAAUCAUUCUUGCUUAUUAGUCUUGUGACAGCUGUCGUGCUGACAUAAGUUACCUCCCAAGUUCAAGAGCACGUGUGAGAGAUUCUUCCCAUGCUAUGACACUUCCGUUAUGGAACGUGAUUGAUGCUACUCUUGUUUUGUAUAUGAAUGCCUGUGCUGCGGGCUGGCCGUGGACUAGAGAAUAUCCAGCCCUCUAAAUGAUUUAUUGGCCUUAUCCAGUUUUUCUGCCUAGUUCCUGGUGUUCUGUAAGAAUUAAGGUCUGGGAAGCAGGACACACUGGGUUGUUUGCUCACACUUGGUUUUAUUUCUUCUUUAUCCGUUUACAUAGUGUAUGAGUUGAUACCCCUAGCUUGCUUACUCUGCCUGAUGCAUGUAUGUAUGCCUAGGUACGUAAUGUAGUACUCAUGUAUUGCUUAUUUUGUUGCACAAUUUUUCGAGAAAAUGCAAAUGACCUUUGUAUCUCAUUUCAUUGAAAGACGGAGAGUUUGUUACAAGCUUCCUAGGAAGCGGGUGUUACAACAGUUUUGACUUAAUGCACGUCUCAGGUCGAUGGCAGGACUACCCUAAGGCUUGUGGCACCGGCUCUAGCCCAAGGCUUUUCUUCAUCUUUAAUCCGGGAGACCAGGCCAUCUGUUCUCAUGCAAAUCUUCAGCCACUUUUCUCUUUAAUGUGAACCACCCCUUGUAUGUCCCGCGUCCAGCUGUUCUCAUGCAAAUCUUCAACCACUGUUCUUGACAUACGUCAUCGUUUGGGUAUACAGGCAUGUAGUUGAGGCGCAAUAUCAGUGAUGGAGUGGCCUCCAAGCCAGCGGUCCUCCCAGAAGCGCACCGUUAGCCAUUGCCAAUGUUCAUCGUGGUAGACGAAAAUAAGAUUGCACGUUCUUACACGUAGAAUUGGAGCUCCAGGCGCAACCUGUGUCAGUGCGGCUCAGCCAUAACCAGCGCACUUCCCAGAAGACCACGCAAUGCCUGACCUUCACAGCCUAGACCACGCACUCCAAGGCCACCUGCAGCAAUUUCCCUGCAGACACGCCUCCAAUUGACAUGGCGGUUUCCUCCCUUUGCAUCUGCCCUGCCUUCCCAGAAGAACCCUACUUCGAUAUUUUUGUUGAAUUGUUUGAUGCUCUUCUUUGGCGGUGCGAGGACCAGAGCUGAUGCACAAGGAUGUCAUUGAGCACGGACCUGACGAGUACGAGGCAACACCAGGCUUAUUCAUCAGAUGAGCCUUACAGGUUGGUAGCUUUCCUCGCAUCUUCUGUACCACUGGCUGUAGCUGCGCAGCGGUCAGCCUCCUAAGUGGGAGAGGGAUGCCCAGGUAGAUGAUGGGAAACUCGACGAUUGGGCAGCCAAGGUCCACCGAAACCUUCAUGGCGUCCAUGUCGCUGUAGUUCAUCAGUGUAGCUGUGGUUUUCGUGUAAUUCACAUGCAACCCUAAUGCUUGGCCAAACAAUUGCAGGAUCUUCUUCACCGUCAUGAUGUUGUUGCACUAUUUCAACUUAUUUAUAUCAUUGCUAGAUCAAUUAGGUACUGUUGUAGCCUAUCCAUGUUGUUUGGUUUGAUUAAAUGACUUAUUGUCUCAAGUAUCUCGUGAAUAGUUUGGCUCCUUUAAGGGGUAUGUUUCUUGACUUUGUCGAAUGGAUGAACCUACUAAUUACUUUGGCAAAUGGCAGCUACAAGAAAGAAAUAAUGAUGACAACUAUUGAAGCAAUCUUGCCGGCCAGUAACAAAAGAGAGUUGCAAGACAUGUACUCAAGAGAACAGGGAAGCUCAUAAUAUCUGGCGUUUAGGUGAUAGGAUGUGCAGGCAGCAUGUUGACGUGGCCCUUGCUCUUGAAGGGAGGAGUGGAGCUGGAGAUCCGGCCGGACAUGCUUUCUUUGUCGAUUUCAUUGACUGAUCCAGUGGCAUGUUCACUUCCUGUUAAAUAGUAAUGAGUAGGUGGAGUGCUGUUUGGGCCGAAGCAUCUAUGUGGAUGGAAAGGUCCUUUAUUUAUAAUACUAUGCAAUAUAAUGUUGGUACCAGAAAUUUCUUGGGCUUACCAUGUUCAACCUGAUGGAAGAGUGAGAGAUCCAUGUGGGUUCUUUUUAUGCCAAAACUGAGCGAAUUAACAUUUCACGUUGAUGAGAGAUGCAGGUAGUGCUUGUUUUCUUUCCGUCUUCCCGGUUGUAUUAUUGUAUAAAUGACACCAUUUUGACUGUGUGGAACAUACAUAUCCUUGCUCAGAAAUAGAUGCAAUUCCGUGUGCAAGCAGGCACCUGAUUUGUUGUA